rnacentral:rRNA from 1 species
GACGAACGCUGGCGGCGUGCUUAACACAUGCAAGUCGAGCGGGUAAGGCCCUUUCGGGGGUACGACGAGCGGCGAACGGGUGAGUAACACGUGGGUGACCUGCCCUUAGCUCUGGGAUAAGCCUGGGAAACUGGGUCUAAUACCGGAUAUGACUCCAUAACGCAUGUUGGUGGGGUGGAAAGCCUUGUGCGGCUAGGGAUGGGCCCGCGGCCUACCAGCUUGUUGGUGGGGUGAUGGCCACCAAGGCGACGACGGGUAGCCGGCCUGAGAGGGCGACCGGCC